rnacentral:rRNA from 1 species
UGGGGAAUAUUGCACAAUGGGCGCAAGCCUGAUGCAGCCAUGCCGCGUGUGUGAAGAAGGCCUUCGGGUUGUAAAGCACUUUCAGCGAGGGGGAAGGUGGUGAGCUUAAUACGCUCAUCAAUUGACGUUACUCGCAGAAGAAGCACCGGCUAACUCCGUGCCAGCAGCCGCGGUAAUACGGAGGGUGCAAGCGUUAAUCGGAAUUACUGGGCGUAAAGCGCACGCAGGCGGUUUGUUAAGUCAGAUGUGAAAUCCCCGGGCUCAACCUGGGAACUGCAUUUGAAACUGGCAAGCUAGAGUCUCGUAGAGGGGGGUAGAAUUCCAGGUGUAGCGGUGAAAUGCGUAGAGAUCUGGAGGAAUACCGGUGGCGAAGGCGGCCCCCUGGACGAAGACUGACGCUCAGGUGCGAAAGCGUGGGGCAGCAAACAGGAUUAGAUACCCUGGUAGUCCACGCUGUAAACGAUGUCGAUUUUGGAGGUUGUGCCCUUGAGGCGUGGCUUCCGGAGCUAACGCGUUAAAUCGACCGCCUGGGGAGUACGGCCGCAAGGUU